CAGCCGCCGCGGGAAAACGGAGGGGGCUAGCGUUGUUCGGAAUUACUGGGCGUAAAGCGCACGUAGGCGGCUUGGUAAGUUAGAGGUGAAAGCCUGGAGCUCAACUCCAGAAUUGCCUUUAAGACUGCCGAGCUAGCAGGUGAGAGAGGUAAGUGGAAUUCCGAGUGUAGAGGUGAAAUUCGUAGAUAUUCGGAAGAACACCAGUGGCGAAGGCGGCUUACUGGCUCAUACUGGACGCUGAGGUGCGAAAGCGUGGGGAGCAAACAGGAUUAGAGACCCCCGUAGUCCCUGUCUCUUAUAC
rnacentral:rRNA from 1 species